rnacentral:rRNA from 1 species
CCUACGGGGGGCAGCAGUGGGGAAUCUUCCGCAAUGGACGAAAGUCUGACGGAGCAACGCCGCGUGAACGAUGACGGCCUUCGGGUUGUAAAGUUCUGUUAUACGGGACGAAUGGCGUAGCGGUCAAUACCCGUUACGAGUGACGGUACCGUAAGAGAAAGCCACGGCUAACUACGUGCCAGCAGCCGCGGUAAUACGUAGGUGGCAAGCGUUGUCCGGAAUUAUUGGGCGUAAAGGGCGCGCAGGCGGCGUCGUAAGUCGGUCUUAAAAGUGCGGGGCUUAACCCCGUGAGGGGACCGAAACUGCGAUGCUAGAGUAUCGGAGAGGAAAGCGGAAUUCCUAGUGUAGCGGUGAAAUGCGUAGAUAUUAGGAGGAACACCAGUGGCGAAAGCGGCUUUCUGGACGACAACUGACGCUGAGGCGCGAAAGCCAGGGGAGCAAACGGGCUUAGAUACCCGGGUAGUC